rnacentral:hammerhead_ribozyme from 1 species
GCACUGCUGAGGAGUCCUAAAAUAGGACGAAACAACCGUCCAGUGC